GUCCUCUUCUUCCCCAGUCUCCAAUCACCAAGAAGCUAAGAGAACCAUCAGGUUUUAAUGGCUGCUGGAAACGUUGAAGCUCAGCUAAUGAAGAAACAGAGCAGAAAUAGAGGACGAUGGUUGCAAAAAGAAGAGGAAGGAUCCUGGAUUUGGUAGGUGGAGAAGCCAUGGUUAUGCAGUCAGGUGAAAAUGUGAAAGAAGUGAUUUUCCUGGAAGAAAAUUUAUGGGGAAGAUAAGAGUUAUUUUUGGUGAUGAAGGUUUGAAAAUUGGAGGGUGCAAGUACAAUACCCU
rnacentral:misc_RNA from 1 species